AUGGAUGUUUUCAUUGCCAUCUCGCGUGCUAAACCAAACACGGAGGCACACGGGCCUAAGGCAAACAUCAAUUUACUGAUUUGGGUGUUUGACAAAUAUCUAUUCAAAUGGAACAUUUAUCCGGUCAAGAGAACUGCCUCGAAGCGAACACCUGGUCACAAUUUCCAGAAGGAUGAAUGGGGAAGUUUGGGAAAGCUUUAUGCAAAAGUCAUCUGUCACUUUCCUCUUUGUUCCACUUGCAGCGUUUUUACUACUGCGGCUUCUACGCGGCGGCGCCACCGGCGGUUUCUCUGCUGCAGUCCAAGAAAGCCCAGGGAUGCUGAUGGGAGGAACAAAUGGAAGACCAGUGAUUAUCAAAGAGGAAAAUAACAUCUUUGAAGCUCUCUACUCUCCACAAACCUGCCUGUGUACUAAUUAUAAGCACUGCUAAUGACAUGUGCGCAUGUGUAGGUGUAAAGAUGCUGUCGAGUGGAUGUGUGAGUAAGUGUCAUUUGAAACUUAAUGCACUGAGACAAGUGUGGGCGAAAGUAUAGGAAGGGCACAUCAGUCAAAGCAACAUGUAAUCACAUUUACAUUACAUUAAUACAUUAAUACAUUAGGUUAACAUUAAGUUAACCUAAGGACAAGGACACCUGGACCAACAAAUAGAAAAACACAUGCUUAUUUAUAAAACUACAAACAAAAAAAGCAUCUUCUGUUCUCGCCAAAGAAAUGGGAGAAAAAAGACUUCAGACUUCAAGAACAGCUGGAAAGGAAGACGGGGGUGGCAGCCUCAAGGUUCACGAUCCAUAAGAUGAAGAGCACUGUUCACAAAAAUGUGCUGAAGGUACAAUAGAGGUAGAUUUUUCUAUAAAGAUAGAAAUGAACACUGACUCAGUUUAUCCCUCUGGUGCUGAACAGUCUAGUUGUAAGAUAUCAGGAUGUGGAAAUAAAUAACUCACCAGUGGUCACCUAAAGUCACAGAUAAAAAACAAGAACUGGUAAUCAAGGAGAGGUUCAAUGAAACUGCAUGUGGUGGUGUGGUAGAGUAAUAAUAUGCAAUAUGUAUAGGUAAUAAUUUGUUUGCUAAAGCCUAUUUUAAAAAUGCACUUGUUCAGGCGUUCAUCACAGAAAAAACUUUGUUUGCUAUCAGAAUCAGAAUCAGACAGACUUUAUUUAUCCCCAAGGGGCAAUUAAGAUACAACAGAGCAGCAUGACGUUGAAGAUAAGGACAGGGCAUAAACAGGCAAUAAGAGUGAGAUAAUAAAUACACAGAAUAUACAGUAUAUACACAGUUUUUAAAAUUACACAGUUUUAAAAUUAAAGUGACUGAAUAGGUGAAUAAAUAACUGUAAGUGACUAAAAGUGCUAUAUACAGUUGUGGUCAGAUGUUUCCAUACACUUUUAAUUAGAAUGAAUGUCAUGGUAAUUUGGGGCUUUAAAUGAUUUCUAGGGUGGAAUGAUUGUACAGCGUUAAUUAUUUUUAAAAACAAAAAAACAAGAAUUGGGCGUGCAAGUUUGAAUUUAUUUUGGAGUUUCUCUCAUCCACAAAGCAUAAAAAACCCCUCAAAUAUACACCCUCACUAAUAUUUGAUUAAAAUCCCUAAGCCCAGCCAGAUCUUUGAUAGAUACCACCAAGGUUCUGGCAUAAGUCUGGCUAGAUAUUUGACCAGCUCUUCUUGGCAUAAUUUGUAAAGUUUAUUUAAAUUGGCUGGCUUUCUGGCACAGUCCCAGCUUUAAAGAAUAGUCCACAAAUUUCAAUACGUUUAAGGUCGAGGCUUUGGGAAGGCCAUUCUAGAAGUUUAAUAUCAGCCUCCUUUAUCGCGUUUUAAUGUGUUUGGGAUCACUGUUCUGUUUGAACACCCAAGUAUCCAAGUUUCAAACCUCUAGCUGUUGAUUUGAAGUGAAGCUUGGAGGUAAUCCACCUUCUUCAUUAUUCCAUCGACUUGUACUUGCAAUGUACAAGCAGCACUGAAAGCAAAACAGCCCCAGAGCAUGAUGAUGCCACUACCAUGUUUUUGUAUGUGCAUAUAAUACUUGAAUACAGAUCAUUUCAGACAUAUGAAUGCUUCAGUGUUCACAGGUUUGGAAACUUAAUAUUUACUCCUCUAGGCUACCUUAUAAUUUUGGCUAAUAUCUAAAUCUUUGUCUAGUACUUUUCUCCAGAAACCAUAUGGUUCAAAUUUCAGUCAAACCUGAAGGUGUCAAUUUUGGAGUGAGGGUCUGUUUUCUUUAAGGGUGACAUUGGUGUUCUAGCAGUUUCCACUUCAUAACAGGCUUGAGCCUAAGUGGUUAGUUCAUGAACAUCCGAAUGAAUUUCUUCUCAUUUGAGGAUGAGAAUCUGGGUCCUCUUCCAGAUCUUAGCAAAAUGAUAAAUUCCAAAUACUUUGUAUUUAGAUACAGUUUUUUGAAGUGAUGAAAUUUCAAGUUUAGAGACCUUCUUAGAUCUAUAUUAAGCUCCUUUCACUUUCCCAAUUUUCUGUAUUAAUAUAUUUGAACCUGUAACUUUUGCAAAAAAAUAUUUAUUUCAAGAUGUAUGCCUGAAAGAAAUCAGCAUUUAUCAUUAUUGUCAUUAUUAUGCAAAAGAAAUCAUUAAAAGCCCCAAAUUACUAUGAAAUUCAUGCCUAUAAGGACUGUAUUUAAACUUUUGACCACGACUUUGUAUGGCAAACAAACUUUUUCAAUGAUGAAGCCAGAUAAAGAAAAAGAAUGUACCAACCACAGCAGCUCUGCAAUCUCCUCAUCAAUGCAUAUUUUCUCAUUCCUUUUAUCACUUUACAGGUAGAUUAUUAUAUGGAGAAGUUGCACAUUGAAUCUUGUUUGACUGUGUGCAUUUACAAUAAAGGAAUGCAGUUGAAUUUCUCUGUCUACGGAAGAAUAUAUUCACACAUACUGCAUGGACUUAGUUUCUAGGAAAGUUUCUGAGUUAUAGAACCACUUUCAGGGUGAAUGGACUACACAGACACACACACACCACGCCACGCCACAGCAUCCUGUAUUACACUCCAUAAUUUGUCAUUUUCCAUUAGGAAGGAGGAUAAUAGAUGGUUAGUGACAGUGAUGUUAAUUGGUUUUCCCCUCCUUGUCAGCCAGGGGUUGGAAGAAGAGACAGCAGGAGAGGUAGAAAGAAGGAAAGAAUGGAAAAUAGAAAAGGACAGAAUAGUUUUACCAUACAUUAUAUAUUCUACCAGAACAAAACUUACACCACUCACUUAUAUGACUCGCCUUUGUUCUGCAUUUCUUCCAACUUUCAUUUUGAUUCU
ensembl:lncRNA